rnacentral:tRNA from 1 species
GAGGGUAUAGCUCAGUGGUAGAGUGCAUGCUUGGCAUACAUAAGGUCCUGGGUUCAAUUCCCAGUACCCCCU